GAUUUUGUGUCUACGCGAUCGAAAUAUCUCCGUGUAUUAGCGGUCGAAAAUACGGCAACGUUGCAGGUUCGUUUCAUCACGGCUUUAUGCGCGUGGAUCACUGCCGACGGCGACGCGAAUGUGUCACCAGCACGUCAUUUUGACAAAACGCCGUGGCCCGUAACCCCGACGGUAAUAACAAUAAUACUUAUUGUGCGGUAUGCGUGUUCGAUUGGAUUCGGGGUAGGCAGUUGCACCGUGCACAGGAAACGGAAAUCGGAUCGGAUUACG